AAGACAUUCCUCAUCCCUAAAUUUAGGGUAAUGAUGCUCCCAUAGUGAGCAUUAAAUGAGCAAAUUGCAUGUAAAGUGUAAAUCACAGUGCCUGGUUCAAGUAGGUGAUUAUUAAUAUUUAUUAUUAUUACUGCUAUCCCCUUUUUUGUUAAAGUAUAUUUCCUCGGUAUCUUCUGCUCUUUCCAGGUUCUCGCCAUUUCAUUUGCUGUCUCUUUCCAACACUGUGGCUUUCAUCCCCAACCACGAAAAUGCAGGCUGACCAAAGGAGGACAGUAGCCCUGUAUUCAUUGGCAUCAGUCACUUGUGGCUUCUCAACAGACCUUCUACCCAGGUGUCCAGAUUCCUCAGGAAUCUUUGGGAAGCAAAAUCAAUGGGGAACUCAGUGGCAACAAGCUGUGUGUUAUUUUUCUGUAUUGUAACUUUGCAUCUGUGUUCCCCUCCUGGCUAGAGCGGAAGCAGGAGCCGCUUCAUGCUGUUGGGUGCAGGCUCUGGUGAUGACGAUCAAAGAGUAAAGGUUAUUGGUCCCAGACAUGACAGUUUCAUCUCCAGGGGCCAUAAACAGUAGUGGCUCCGGAAUCCAAGCAAAAAGGUGAAUGAGAAAAACAGAGUAAUGUAGUACAUGAUGAGUUGGAGAAUGGGAACCCAGCCUAAAGAAUUUUAAAUUAAGAUAUUUAAAAACUGUGUGAGAGCCAAGAAAUCCAUAUAUAGCCCCACAAAAUGUGCACCCCCGCCUUUGCCUGAACCCAGCCUUAACAGUUUACAAAGUUUUGUUGCAGUCUACAAACCAUUUACAAAGCAUUUGGUCCUCUUUACAGUCUUGUGUGGUCAGCCGGAAUUUAUUAUCAGAAUCUCCAUUUUAGAGUGCAAGGAAUUGAAGACCUCAACAUUUAAAUGCCUCUUCUAAGAAAAGAACACACAGUUAAAACGCAUGAAAUAUCUGAUUCCAAACACUGUGUUGUUUCUAUGAACACACUCAGAGGUGGGGUUUUGGGGACAGAAUCUCCUUCACAAGGUUGUGGAGGGUUGAAUCACCGAUCAACUAAACUCUCGUUGAAAAGGGAGAGUCCUCAAAAGAGUGAGUAUGAUUCAUGGCAACUCAUCCACGUCAGCAGAUCAGUCACUCAGAGAGGAUAAUAAACUCACAGAAUAAAGGACAAAAGGAUAUUCGACAUGACGGCAGGACUUUUCAUUCAUGGGGUAUAGUGGAUCUAAUGUUGCCCCUCAAAUUCAUGUCCACCCAGGACCUCAGAAAAUGUCCUCAUUUGAAAAGAGGGUCUUUGCUAACAUGACUAAGGUAAAGAGUGAGGUGAGAUCAUAUUGGAAUUUGGACCCUGAACCCAUUGAAUAUCCUUGUAACAUGAUGUUAUCUGUCCUAUUAGGAGCUUCCUGAUGAUUCCAUGUCAAGAGGGUUGUGAAAGUUCAGUGCCUGGUGCAUGCAACCUGACGAUGGAGGCAGAAGAAGGAUUCUAUGAUUGGAAACCUGCCAGACUCACCUGCUACGGAGAAGAAAGGCUAAAUCCACCAGACUGUUGGAUGGACUUAAAACAAAUUGCCCUCUGCAGCUCUGUUUCUUAUUAAUAUACUCAUAGAAAUGCACAAGAACUGAAAACUUGAUAGGGAAACCAAAAAAUAAAAAUAAAAAUAAAGCUGUAAACCAAUGUUUCUUAAAACAUGCUCCGCAGAACACUCGUUUGGUGGACUGUAAAGCAUUCUUUCAUAUUAAAGGACUUGCGUGUUAA